rnacentral:rRNA from 1 species
AGCAGCCGCGGUAAUUCCAGCUCCAAUAGCGUAUAUUAAAGUUGUUGCAGUUAAAAAGCUCGUAGUUGAAUUUCGGGAUCAGUUGGUCGGUCGUGCCUCGGUACGUACUGGUCAAAUUGAUUCCUACCUUCUGACGAACCACGAUGUCAUUAAUUUGGUGUCGCGGGAAAUCAGGACUGUUACUUUGAAAAAAUUAGAGUGUUUAUAGCAGGCUCGCGCUUGAAUACAUUAGCAUGGAAUAAUGAAAUAGGACGUUUGAUUCUAUUUUGUUGGUUUCUAGGAUCGACGUAAUGAUUAAUAGGGAUAGUUGGGGGCAUUAGUAUUCAAUUGUCAGAGGUGAAAUUCUUGGAUUUAUUGAAGACUAACUACUGCGAAAGCAUUUGCCAAGGAUGUUUUCAUUAAUCAAGAACGAAAGUUAGGGGAUCGAAGACGAUCAGAUACCGUCGUAGUCUUAACCAUAAACUAUGCCGACUAGGGAUCGGAUGAUGUUAAUUUUUUAAUGACUCA